rnacentral:rRNA from 1 species
AUACGUAGGUGGCGAGCGUUGUCCGGAAUUACUGGGUGUAAAGGGCGUGUAGGCGGGGGUGCAAGUCAGAUGUGAAAACCCAAGGCUCAACUUUGGGAUUGCAUCUGAAACUGUAUCUCUUGAGUACUGGAGAGGGAAGCGGAAUUCCUAGUGUAGCGGUGAAAUGCGUAGAGAUUAGGAGGAACACCAGUGGCGAAGGCGGCUUCCUGGACAGAGACUGACGCUGAGGCGCGAAAGCGUGGGUAGCGAACUGGAUUAGAUACCCUGGUAGUCCACGCCGUAAACGAUAGAUACUAGGUGUAGGAGGUAUCGACUCCUUCUGUGCCGGAGUUAACACAAUAAGUAUCCCACCUGGGGAGUACGGCCGCAAGGUUGAA